UUUUGUCUCUCUUAACUUUCUCUUCUCCUUUUCUCCGGCGACCUUUUUUUUACUCCGGUCAGCUAUCCGCCGGAAAAUCGUAAUCUAUUGGUGUAUUCAUAGCUUCCUUGAUUGUACCUUCUCUUCACCGAUCUCAAACUUUAUAUUAGUCAUCAUGAAUCCAGAAUACGACUAUCUGUUCAAGCUUUUGCUUAUUGGAGAUUCUGGUGUUGGUAAAUCGUGUCUUCUCUUGAGAUUUGCUGAUGAUUCAUAUCUUGAGAGUUACAUCAGCACCAUCGGUGUGGACUUUAAAAUCCGCACAGUUGAUCAGGAUGGGAAAACCAUUAAACUUCAA
rnacentral:misc_RNA from 1 species